UCCUCCGUGGCGCAAUUGGCUAGCGCGUCUGACUGUUAAGUCCUCACCGACGAAGCGAUCAGGAGGUUCGUGGUUCGAGCCCACGCGGGGGAG